UCACACCAGCCCCCAAUGUAUUUGACAGGACACUUAUUUUGCAAAUCUUCAUUUAUCGUUAAGUAUAAACAGGUGUUUACCUCACCUUCAAUGGUCAACAACCUAAGGUGACUUAAAAAAAAAUACUGAUACCAAGUCCCUCCCCAGAUGGAUUGAAUCAGAGCUACUUAGGGUGGAGCCAAAAGGCUUGUUUUUUAAAGCUUCCCAGGUAAUUCUAAUAUGUGUGUAGUCGGGUAUGAGAACGAUUGCAAGCAAAAGCAGCUGAGGGACGCUGUCCAAGGAGUAGGCUCAGUAGCACGAACUGCAAAUACUUGAGAAGGGAAAAGUUCAGCCUUGUGCUGGAAAGUGGUUUAGCAUGCUGGAGCUGGUUUUCUGCUUGGUAGCCCUACAACUUUGGCCCAACUACUUGGCCUCUGGGACUCAGAUUCCUCCUCUUUAAAAUGGUGCUAAUAAUAGCACCCACCCUCUGUGAGGAGGAUGCUGUGAGGACAAAAUGAGAUCAUCCACAUAAGCCGUGAACCCUGUUCCUGGUAAGGUCACAAUGAUGCAAGAGGUGGGUUCCGACGGCCUUGGGCAGCUCCGCCCCUAUGGAUUUGCAAGCUCCUGGAAAGAAGUCUAUGGAUUAUACUCAACCUACACUCCAGUUAAAGGAACAUCUACACACAGAGGAAAUGAAUAACAUGAAGUGAAGUCUUCAUCUCCAUUCCCAACAGUCCCCAUUCUACUUGCAGAAAGGUUGCUUACACUGAAAAUCAGUUUAUUUUCCCCUGGUGCAAAGAACAGUCGUUUCUCCAAAACUGAAGCUGGAAAUUAUCUGAAAUAUCAGGUCCUCCGGAAAAGGGACGUGAAGCCCCCUUUGUAAUUUCUGCAUUAGCGUGCUCUCCUGGCAAGCAGGAAACCUCAUCAGAGAAGUCAGCCAAGGAAAGUCUUUAAAUGGAAAUUGUGCAAACGAGGAGCAAAUGCAUUAAAAAGUUGCUGACGGGCAUGAAAUGCUUUGAUGUGAAGACGGAAAACUCCAAGCAGGAAGGAUUUUAACAUUUUGAAUCUGAUUGACUCUGUGGUUUCUCAGCACAGUUAUUCCAUGGGCUAAAAUAAAUGCAGAAAUGGUACUUUCAGACCACAGCUGCAGAGGGGAUCGUGGUGAAUUUCAAUGAAAAUCCAUUUGAAUCUUGAGGUUCAGAUCUUAAAAAAGCAAAGGACAUGAGAGAAGUAAUAUUGUUGCUUGAAAUUUCAUUGCUUAUAUCUAAAAGAAACUCCUAUUUUUAAGAGAAAUGUUGAAUCUUUGCAACGUGGUAGACGCUCCCACAAAACUUUCUCCUGAAAUAGGAGAUAAAUGUUGGAAAGAGGCAAUGUAUUGAGUAUGCUGAUAGAGGUGGAGUUCAGAGACAGGCAAGCAUACAUAAGAGUCAGGAUGUUUUUCAGUAUUAUCUUUACAAAUGAGUUUCUUACAGUGGUCAAUGACAAACCAAUUUCAUUCAAAGCUUGCUUCAAUAGGCAAUGGUUUGAUGCCAAUAUGUUAGCUAUUUACUUUGACCACCGUAUGCAUUAAAAAGAAGAAAAAUUAAGAAUACUCAAGCAGAACCUCCAACUUAGAUAGCACUUUCCACAAAAAGUAAUGGAGGGAUAGACUGAAGUUAAAUGGGAUCAGGUAUGUGAUGAGAUCUCAGAAGUGUUUGCACAAUAAUGCAGAUACUCAUUUUAAACAGAGUCAUAAGGAUUGGAACUAAUAAAAAUAAUAGAAUAAAAUACCGAUCAAGAAUGUGUCCUCCUGCGUAUCUGGGUUUUGAAUUCUGGCUCCACAGAACUUGUCAGAUAUAUGACAUUAAACAAGAUACUUCAACAUUCUGUGCCUUCAUUUUCUUAGCUGUAAAUAGAGAUUUUACUAGAACUCUAUAAGAUUAUCAUGAGAAUUACAUUAAUAUAUGUAAAGCUUUAGACAUAGUAUAUGGCACCUAGUAAGCACUCAAUUAAAUGUUAGUUACCAUUAGUAGCAGUGUAGAAUUAAAAAACAAAAACUGCAAACUGUAAGUUAGGCAUCUGGCUCUGCAAACUAGUGGAAUUCCCCAGACCUUAUUCUGGCCAUCUGUAAAAUGAAAGGGUUGGGCUAGAUCAUCUCUAAAUUUCCUUCCAACUUAAAAAACAUUGUUCAAAAACACAUUUUAGGAGUACGCAAAGUAUUUCAGCAGAAGGCGAUGUUUUAGCAGAAUAUUUUUAAAGGCACUUAAUCACUUUCACAAAAAAUGUGUUUCAUGGCUUGUACUUCCUCCUCUAUCAACUCCUGUUGGGACUUCACUUGCUGCUAUUCCACCGAAGUGGCUCCAGUCAGGGUCACAGGAUUUCUACGUUGUCAAGUCCAAUGGUCACUUCUUUAAACCUUUGGUACACCCAGUAGCACUUGACACAUCUGAAUCUGAUUUUUUCCUUCUUUGUCCAGUCACCAGCCUUUUUUUUUUUUUUUUUUUUUGAGAGUCUUUGUCUUCUAGGCUGGAGUGCAGUGGCGCAAUCUCGGCUUACUGCACCCUCCACCUCCCAGAUUUAAGGGAUUCUUGUGCCUCAGCCGGGUGCCACCACACCAGGCUAAUUUUUGUAUUUUUAGUAGAGAUGGGGUUUCUCCAUGUUGGCCAGUCUGGUCUUGAACUCCUGACCUCAGGUGAUCCACCUGCCUCAGCCUCCCAAAGUGCUGGGAUUACAGGCUUGAGCCACCCCGCAUGGCCGAGAUUGUCUUUUUAAUAAACAUUUUAUUUUACUCCUCUACUUAAAAUCCUGAAAUGGCUUUCCAUGACGUUUGUGAUCUAGACACUUUUGAUCUUAUUUUCUACCAUCUCUUCUUGUUCUUUGCAGUCCCUUCAGCCACACUGGCCUUCUUUCUGAACUUCAAACACCCCAAGCUUAUUCCUUGGAUUGGUUAGUACCUUUGCUUAGAAUUUUCACCUUAAAUCAUGGCUGGCUCCUUCUUGGCAUUGUUUCAGUAUAUAUGUCUCCUCCUCAGAGAGGCCUCCCUGAUUAAAUAGUACCCACUUCACUUAGUCUACCUUGCCCUGUUUCAUAUUCGUAAUGAAACGGUCUUAUUUUUACCAUGUCUAUCUCCCUCAAAGAAAGUAAGCCCCAUGAGAACAGGGAUAUUAUCUAGCUCAAUGCCAAGGACAGGUCCUCAAUAAAGCUAUGAAGGAAAAGAUAAAGAAGCCAGUUCCCCUUGCAUCAUGUUCAAAGUGUUCUCUGCCUUCCCUAAAUUUUAAUCACCCUUAUUGUCAGUCCCACUUAUUUGAUAUCACACAUCAUCCUGUAUUAUUAUGAAUUUUUUCCUACACAUAUGUCUUUUUUCUCCAAUCAUAUGAUACUUGUGGGAUGAGACUAUGAGACAUUUCAGGUGUCUCAGAAGUGAUGAGCCCUUGUUCACAAUUAUUCACUAAAUGUAUGUUAAAAUAUUUAAAGGGAGACAAAUUGACUAGUAAUUUACAAAAACCUAAAUUAUGACUGGUCAAAAGGAAGAAAACAAAAAAGUGCUUAAAUGUUUCAAUGAAAACAUGUCCAUCCAAUGGUUUAUAUUUUCCUAGGCAGUGGGAAAAGAAUGAGAGUUGGACUUCAGUUUUUAAGUGGGCAACCCAAAUUGUUUUGGUUCUUUAAAAAAAUUGGUUUGUUACUUAUGUUAGGAACAAUCUCUCUCUAGUCUAAAUAGAGAUCUAAGGAAAUGCAAUCUAAAGAAAAUCUAGUCUUGGUUGAAUAUAUUUUACUUUACAUUUUACAUACCUUAUUACAGCGAGUACUCACAGGCAAAAGUUCCAUUGUAUACAUUGAAGUCAACAAUCAUUUGUCUUUUCUGGACUUGACACUCUGCCAUGACUCCCCACCAUUGUACUUACUGGUUCAAACUCCUUAGCAGGUCCUACCAGACUGUCCAGGAUUAAGUCUUUAUUCACACCUUAGUCUUACCUCUUAUUCUGUCUCCCUUCAAGAUCCUCUUUUGUCCAAUACCCAACAGACACACAUUCGGCUCUAGACACAACAAAAAAGGCAGGCCCCCUAAUGAACUCUACCACUAUCCCCUCUACACUGUUUUCUCUUACACAUCCUGAUCUCUUCCCCACCUACCUAGUUAGCCUGGUUUACUCUCCUCUAUUAGGUUUUUGCCAAACUGCAAUUACUUUUGCACCAACCUAAUCAUCUUCUCUAGCAGGCCUUCCCUACCCCUGCCUACCUUCUUGCCCAGAUUGAAUCAGGCCCCAUCUAUGGAUUCUCAUAGUACCUGUGCUUACCCACCAUAAAGCACAUAUCACAUGACUGAAAUUUCCUUACCCAAGAUCAAAUAAAUGAAUAGCCCAAUUCAUUUUUUUAAUACUAUGCUAUAAUAUGAAGGUUUAUGCUCCCCCUUCAAAUUCAUAUCCUGACAUUCUGAUGCCCAAGGUGAUACUAUUAGGAGACAAGGACUUCUAGUGCUCUGUUGUUCCUGAUCUUAGAUGGAAAGCAUUAGCUUUUUACCACUAAGUAUAAUAUUAAGUUUAGAUUUUUAGUACAUGCUCUUUAUCAAUUUUAGAAAGUUCCUUUCCAUUCCUAUUUUUCUUAAAGUUUUAAUCAUGAAUGGGUAUAAAAUUUUGUCAAAUGCUUUUUCUGCAUUGAUUAGUAUAGUUAUAUGAUUUUUCUCUUUUAGCCUAUUAAUAUGGCCAGCUAUCUUAGCUGAUUUUCAAAUAUUGAACCAGCCUUGUGUUCCUGGAGGAAGCCCAUGGUUCUGCCCUCAAUAAUAAAAUCAGUGCCCUUAGAAAAACAGCCUGAUAGAGCAUGUUUGCCCUUUUCACCAUGUGAGUACACAGUUAAAAGGCCCCAUCCAUAAGGGGUGGGCCCUCAAGCAGACACCACUAGCACCUUAUCUUGGUCUUUCCAGCCUCCAGAACAGUGAGAAAUAAAUUUCUGUUGUUUCUAAGUUACCCCAUCAAAGACAUUUUGUUUCAGCAGUCAGAACAUACAAAGACACCCUAUAAUACCAAAAACAGGCAAAAAUGUACAAAAAAUGAAAGGUUUAGGCCAAUAUCCUUUAUGAAUAUGCAUACAGAAAUUAUUAGCAAAAUAUUAGCAUAUAGAAUUUACAAUAUAUAAAGAGAAUUAUACUCCAUGACUCCGUGACCAAGUGAGGCUUAUUCUAGGGAUGCAAGGCUGGUUCAAUAUUUGAAAAUCAAUGAAUGUAAUCAACCAUAUUAACAGGCUAAAGAAAAUAAAUCAUAUGAUUAAUCAAUGCAGAGAAAGUAUUCAACAAAAAUUUUAUACCCCUUCAUAAUAAAAACUCUUAAAAAAACAGGAACAGAAGAGAACUUCCCAAAAUUGAUAAAAAACAUUUACUAAAAACCUACAGCUAACAUUAUGCUUAAUGGUAGAAAGCUGAAUGCUUUCCUCCAAAGAUCAGGAAGAGUACAAGGAGGUGACUCUUGCCACUCUUAUUCAAAAUGGGGAUAGAAGUGCUAGUCUGUACAAUAAGUCAAGAAAAAGAAAAGGCAGGGAGAAUGAAAAGAUCCUAAAUUAAAACAUAAAACUAUGAAACUUGCAGGGAAAAAGCACAGAAAAUCUUUGCAUCUAGGGCUAGACAACUUUUAGAUUUGAUACCAAAAGCAUGGUCCAAAUCAGGAAAAUUGAUAAAUUGUGCUUCAUCAAAAUUAAAAAUCUUUUGCUCUGUAAGAGAUCCUGUUUCUCUGUUAGGACAAUGAAAAGAUAAGCUAUAGCCUGAGAUAAAAUAUUUUCAAAUUACAUAUCUGAUAAAUGAGUGCAUAAAGAAGUCUUAAAAACUCAAUAGUCAAAAAAUUAAAAAUCCAAUUAGAAAAUGGGCAAAAAUCAUGAAGAAUAAUUUUGCUGCAGAUGGUGUACAGAUGACAAAUAAGCAUCUGGAAAGAUGCUCAACAUCAUUAACCGUUAGGGAAAUCCAAAUUAAUACCACAGUAUAAUUACAAAGCUCUCAGAAUGGCUAAAAUAAAAAAUAGUUGACUACACCAAAUGCUGGUGAGAAUGUGGAAAAAUUGGAUCACUCAUAUGUUUCUGGUGGUAAGAUAAAAUAGCCUGGACACUGUGGAAAACUGUUUUGCAGUUUCUUAAAAAGCUAAGCAUGCAAACACCAUACAACUGCACUCCUGGGCAUUUGUCCCAGAAAAAUUAAAAUAUUCACAAAGAAACAUGUACAUGAAUGUUUAUAGCAGUUUCAUUCAUAAUAGCCACAUACAGAAAAAAAACCAUGUGUUUCUUAAUGGGUGAAUAAACCAUGGUACAUCUAUACCUUGGAAUACUACUUGUCAAUAAAAAACAAACAAUUGCUAAAUAAAACAACCUGAGAAAAUCUCCAGAGAACUAUACUGAGUGAAGGAAGAAAAAUCCCCAAAGAUUACACACUGUAUGUCAUUUAUAUAACAUUCUUGAAAUGACACAAUCACAGAAAUAGAGAAUACUGGUCACUAGGCAUUAAGGAAGGUGUGGAAGGAUGUAGUGAUGGGAGGAAAUGUGUAUGGCUGUAACAGGGCAACAGAGGCAUCAUUGUGAUGAUGGAAGUGUUCUGUAUCUUGUGUUUUUGAAUGUCAUUAUCCUGGUUGUGAUAUUGUACUUAGUAGUUUUGCAAGAUAUUACCACUGAAGAAAACUAGUUAAGGGUACACAGGAUUUUUCUGUAUUAUUUCUUAUAAGUGCAUGGGAAUCUACAUUGAUUCUUAGAUAUACUUAGAAGUCACAAAUGCAAAAGCCUUUUACUAUUGUUACAAAACACAGCAAGGAGAUAUUUAUAUUCUGUAUCGUGUAAAGUCAUCCUGGAGUUGGGGAUCCAGCCUGGAAUUGCUGGGCAUCAGGGACAGUGAAGUUGUGCAAGCAUGUACAUUGUCUAACGCAUGCUCGAAGUUAUAUUUAUCUUCAGGACAUCCGAUUUGACUCACGUUCAUUGGUCCUAUAUUUUUAUCGGUUUUAAUUAACUAUGUCCUUUAGCAAUCCUUACCUCUAUCUUUCCCUUUUGCAUGUGUCAGGGUAAUCUCAAGUAUAAGUCACCCAGAGAGGAAGAAAAUAUUUUUUGUUUUAUCUUAUGUUUGUGGCUACUAAUAGCAGUAUUAAAAAUUAAAGUACAACAAAAUAUAUAAGAUUACAGAAUCCUAGGAAAAUAAAAUAGGAAUGUGAAAACAGAUCUAAUGAGGUAUUAAACCUCUAGCAGAGAGCCCCCAAUCUCUUAUCAUGUUUCUUUAAGUCAUUAGAAUUGUCCUGCAGGCUAAAAAGAGCUUCGUUCUGAUGAUGGCCCCAAAUGCUUUUUUCUCCCAAUGAUGUCAACUUGCAAAGUUUGGCACGUUCUCUUACAACAUUCUAAUGUCCAUUAAUGACCUCUUAAUGCUAAUUGGUACACAUUAUACCAUCUGUAAAUUUUAACACAUCAUGUUAUUUUCAACAAUACUUGUAUCUUCAUCCUAUUCUGGUAUCAGAUAAAGCCAACCAGGCAAAGGAAGCCAUCUUAAAGCAACACUGGUGUGAUUUUGCUCAGUCUGAGCAAGAGAUUCUUUGCUGAAAAAAACUACACCUAGAUGGGUCGUUUAAUUCAACUUUGUGAAGACACUAAAGGAUUGAUAAUGGCAAAGCAGGUUACACAAAGUUUACUGCCUAUUUGAUUUAAACAAUUAUUUAGGUGUAGAUAAGAAAAUACAACUUACAAUGGGUUUGUGGGAUAUAGUUUAGAAUUUGCUCUAAAGAAUCUGGGAUGACUAUAACCAGGGCCUUGGUUCCAGUCUAGCCUGGAGUCCCUUCCUUGUGUCAUCCAAGUUCACAAUUUGUCUUUGUGUGUUUGGUGCAGCUUCAGUCACAGUUGGGGAUAAAUUGGGAUUCAAUGUUCACAUUCUGAAUAUGGGUCCUUGUUAUAUACAAAAAUGUUUCUAAAUCUGUUAUUGGUAACACAGUAAAUGAAUUGGAUUAGGAGGUCAUUAUUAACAGGUCUGACAUCUGUGGGCCUGUCUAGCAGACAGGAUGCAAACAGACAACAGAGAGCCUCAAGGAAACAACAAACAAAAAUCAACAUGAAACAAAAAUAUCUGGCCAUAAAGAUGCAGAAGAUGAAGACUUUCGGAGUAGACUUGUAAAUUGGAGCGAACAGUGGGUCCAGGCACAGUGGGAGCCCCACCCACACCCCGUAACAGUCCUUCUAACCUUCCCCAUCCAACAUUCUUGCCUACCCUGACAGGGAAAGGACUGCAGUUAAGGGUCCAGUCCUACUGUGGGAUUUCUCCUGGGAGCGCGCUGGUCAUGAGAAGUGAAUAGAGUUUCUCUUCAUUCCCCACGAAGAGAGAAGAGCCCCAGGGGUCGGUGAAUCUGAAGGAUCAGCUGCAGCAGUCGGAGGAGAAGGUAGAGAAGGGCGAGGCUGACCUACACCUAGACAGAGGUGCCCAGCUCUUAUGCGAGCAGCAACAGGGACCUAGAGCCAGCCUGACGCUCACCCCAAUGCACACACACCAAUCACCUGCGGAGGCUUUCUCCUGGAUUUCCUCCUAAUCCAAGAUGCAAGGCUCAAAUGUUAAAAUAUUAGGUAUUGCUCCAAAGUUGUCUCACUGCUUAGAAAUGCCUGAGACAUCCUGCAGGGGGCCGACCUCCUCUCUCAUCGGUGCUCUCAGCCCCUCUGCUCUCUCCUUCCGGUUGGUGCUCUUUGAGCAGCUAACUCCACUUUCUGAUUAUCCUGAAGUGAAUUCCUAGUUGGAAUCCAGGUGGAAAAAAAAUCUAACAGCCAAAACGUGGACUCCUUAAGGUUUUGUGCAUACAAGUGAUGUGAGGAUGAAUGAAAAGAAAAAC
rnacentral:lncRNA from 10 species